rnacentral:rRNA from 1 species
AUUGAACGCUGGCGGCAUGCCUUACACAUGCAAGUCGAACGGCAUCGCGGGAAAGCUUGCUUUCCUGGCGGCGAGUGGCGAACGGGUGAGUAACACAUCGGAACGUACCGGCUAGUGGGGGAUAACCCGUCGAAAGACGGGCUAAUACCGCAUACGCUCUUCGGAGGAAAGCAGGGGACCUUUGGGCCUUGCGCUAGCCGAGCGGCCGAUGUCCGAUUAGCUAGUUGGUGGGGUAAAGGCCUACCAAGGCGACGAUCGGUAGCGGGUCUGAGAGGACGAUACGCCACACUGGGACUGAGACACGGCCCAGACUCCUACGGGAGGCAGCAGUGGGGAAUCUUGGACAAUGGGGGCAACCCUGAUCCAGCAAUGCCGCGUGGGUGAAGAAGGCCUUCGGGUUGUAAAGCCCUUUCGGCAGGGAAGAAAUCGGCGGGGCGAAUAACCCUGCUGGAUGACGGUACCUGCAGAAGAAGCACCGGCUAACUACGUG